rnacentral:lncRNA from 1 species
AGGAUGGUCUUGAUCUCCUGACCUCGUGAUCCGCCCAUCUUGGCUUCCCAAAGUGCUGGUAUUACAGGCUUGAGCCACCGCACCUGGCCCAGUCUGCCAUCUUUAACCAGGGGUUCCUAGAUCAGUUUUUCCACAGGCUGGUCUUUAAGGCCAUCCUCAAAUACUGUACCAGCCUUAUUGCCUCCUCCUGGCUUUAAGGACACCCUACAACCCUUGAGGUCCCUAGUCUAAAGGGAGAGGAGAGGAAUUUCAGUUGAUAAAAAGCAAAUGUGUCUUUAAAUAAUUAACUGGGUACUUAACAAGAAAAGUGGGGGUAUUUCCUUUGGUAGUCUGAAAGAUUUUUUUUUCUGUAUAAUAGAUGGGUUUCUUUCUCCACACUAGAUAGGCAUGCAUUUAUCGAGUUUGAAGGGGGAAUUAAAAGGUCUCAGAAUGUCUCUCCCAGGCCUGGGUUUAUAAUUCCAAAGAUAACAUAAUUUAAGAAUUUAAGACCCAGUCUAAUGCAAUUCCUUCAUUUCAUUAGCAAGAAGACUGGUUUUACUGUAAAAGUUGGUUAAAUUAAGAAGAUCAGAAGUUUCUGAGGAUUUUUUUUUUUUUUGAAACAGGUCUUACUCUGUCACCCAGGGUGAUCCUACUGCCUCAGCCUCCUGCGUAGCUGGAAACACAGGCAUGCACCACCAUCCCCAGCUGAUUUUUAAAAUUUUUGUAGAGAUGGGGUUUCAACAUGUUGCCCAGGCUGGUCUUGAACUCCUGGACUCAAGCAAUCCUUCUGCCUCAGCCUUCCAAAGUGCUGGGGUUACAGGCAUAAGCCACAACAACCGGCUGAGGAUGGAUGUCUUGAUAAGACUAUGAUCACUUGUCUACUAACAAGGAUGGUUUUUUUAUACCCUGGAGAAUUUCUUAUUUUUUCAACUGAAGUAUCUUUCCCUAAUAAGCACAAACAAUAAAUUCACAACAUGCUGAAAUUCAUAUGUUGUGAAUUUAUUUUUUAACAAAGCAAAGUUAUUUAAGUCCUGACACUAACAACAGCUGCCAACCUAAAUUUGAAAGUGUUAAAAAUAGCUCAAUGAUCCUUAAUUUUCCUAUGUUUGUCCCCCUUGCAUCUGUCUUCCAACCUUAAAACUAAAACAUUAUUGAAUUUAUCUACAUAGAAGUUGUAAGAUGAAAUUUAAUCCCAUUGUAAUUUAAAACUAAACUGUGUUCAAUAUUAAUGUUCAGUUACAUGACCUUGAAAUUUAUUUGGCAAUACCUACUGAUUGGUGCAGGAGUAAUACAGCUUAUAUUUCUCAAAACACUAGCAAUAAUAUCCCUAUAGCCUUCUGAUAAACUGCAAAUUACACUUAUUAAUUAGAUUUAAGAAGUGUAAAUGUUAUAACAUGGUUAUAAUGCCACUAUCAGGUACACUUUCCAGUUUAUUGGAGGAAGUAAAAAUGAAAUGCACCAUGGCUUGAGAAUUGAUUAAUUCUCAGUUUUAUUUAGGAGAGUCAGACCUGAAAUGUUGCAAAGAAGGGUUACAUUACUUCUCUCUUGGCACAUGACCCUCAAGUAGUAAUCGUUACCAUCUGUAAUGCUGAAAAAUGUGUUCAACAUGAAGAAUUCUUAGGUGGCAUUAUUUAGGGAACUACCUGUUCCCUCCACAGUGUUGCUUUACUGAAUUUCCUUUCCUUUUUUUCCUUUUUUUUUUUUUUUUUUUUGAGAUGGUGUGUUGCUCUUGUCACCCAGUCUGGAGUGCAAUGGCGCAAUCUCUGCUCACUGCAACCUCUACCUCCUGGGUUCAAGUGAUUCUCCUGCCUCGGCCUCCCGAGUAGCUGGGAUAAUAGAUGUGUGCCACCAUGCCCGGCUAAUUUUGUGUUUUUAGUAGAGAUGGGGUUUCACCAUGUUGGCCAGGCUGGUCUCAAACUCCUAACCUCAGGGGAUCCAUGCGCCUCGGCCUCCCAAAGUGCCGGGAUUAUAGGCAUGAGCCACCGUACCUGGCUUUACUGAAUUUUCAGCACCAGCUUUAGACUUUACCAGAUGCAGGAGAUAAUCCAGACUUUUGUGCCUCAACAUAUUUGAUCAACUCCGACCCCUUCUCUGAUCUUGGAGACUGAAUAUUAAUAAAUGGUUAGUAAAAUGGCCUAUUCUUUUGGUUAAUUCACAGGUGGAUGAAUGCUUACACAAAUGCUCUUCAUAAUUCUAGACCAGUGAUGGGGUAGGUGAGGAAACACUUCUAGAAGGAGUGGCUAAAAGGGGUGGGCUGAGGCUGGGUAGCUUGAAAGCAAAGCAGAAAUCUGACCUGUGACUUUGAGUAUUUGUUGUUGUUGUUAGAGAUGGGGUCUCAUUCUGUAGCCCAGGCUGGAGUAUAGUGGUAAGAUCAUGGCUCAGCACAGCCCUGAACUCCUAGCCUCAAGCCAUCCUCCCACCUCAGCCUCCAGAGUAGUUUGGCCUACAGAUGCGAGCCAUUGCACUUGAUGGCUUUGAGUGUUUUAACGGUAGCCCAGGAUGGGGUAUUUCAACCCCCUCCAUACAAGUUCUGAUAAGGCAUGCCUUCCCUGAGACCACUGCUUUAUAUGGGGUAAUCUUAUAUGUUCCAUUCUGCUCUGGAAAAUCCUAGUUUGUGCCUCUUUUUCUGGUAAAAAGCACCCUCUCAAGUGUCCAGGUUUGGAUGAUAAAUUAUCCAGGCCACCAGAUCUGUGGUGGAUGUGGGAUAGUUAUAUGUAAUCUCCACUGGAGAACAGGUGAGUCCCUAAUACACACUGCGACUAAAUUUCUCUGUGCUUUUCCAGCAUAACCUAAAAUGUGGAAAAGAAAGAUGUAAGACCGUGGUGGUCAAUGCAAAUGAGAAUAAUAUUAACAGGUAGUGGACUUUGGAGGUAGACAGCCCUGAGACAGAAUAUGACUCUCCCAUUUACUAACUUUGUGAUUUGGGGCAAGACAUUUCAUUCUCCCUUAAUCUCAUUUUCCUCAACUAUGCAAUGGAAAUGCAAAAUUUACUGCACUGAGUUGCGAUGGGGAUUAAAUGAGAUGCUGCAUAGACAGAGCUUUGCACAGUGGGGAGUUACUGUGAACAAGCUCAUUGCCAAACAGUCUAUUAUAUUGUUUUAAUUUGAUUGAGGCUUCACUUUAUGUGUUAUCUACAUUAACCCCCAAAUACACUUACACUUCAAACAAAUUUUUAACUUUUAAAAUGUUCUUUAAUUUAGGCAGGGCGUCAAACUGUUGAUUAGAUUUGGUUGGCUAGCAAUACAGUGAGGUGUUGCAAAUGUUACAGUCUGAAUGCAAGCUUUAAAGAAAUGUCAAAAUGUGUCCAUUUUAAUCAGAUAUGUCAUGAUGUGAGAGUCUGUGCUCACAUCUAUUGACAGAGGGAUAAAUAUGUUAAAGACAUACCUUAGCCAGGCGUGGUGGCUCACGCCUAUAAUCCCAGUAUUUUGGGAGGCUGAGGCGGGCAGAUCACUUGAGGUCAGGAGUACGAGAUCAGCCUGGCCAACAUGGUGAAACCCCAUCUCUACCAAAAAUACAAAAAUUAGUUGGGCAUGCUGGUGCACGCCUGUAAUCCCAACUACUCAGGAGGUUGAGGCAGGAGAAUGGCUUGAACCUGGGAGGCGGAGGUUGCAGUGAGCCAAGAUUGCGCCACUGCACUGCACUCCAGCCUGGGUGAUAGCACAAGACCCCGUCUUAAAAAAAAUAAAAUAAAAUAAAAGAAGACAUACCUUAGAGUCUCUGUAGGCAAUUUAUAUUUUAUUAAUGUAAAUAUUGAUUAUAUAAUUGAAAGUCCAAAGAAUAGUGGCAAAAACUUUAAGACAUUAUUUUGAGAAACAUUGUAUUUCUUUACUAAUUAUAUAUUUAGUAGAUAAAGGAAAAUACCUUUAACUGUGUUUGAAAAUGGUUACGAAUACAAUACAGUUAAAAGCAGUUAAUAGACCUACUGCAGUGGCUCAUACCUGUAAUCCCAGCACUUUGGGAGGCCGAGGUGGGAGGAUCACUUGAGCCUAGGAGUUUCAGACCAGCCUGGGCAACCUGGUGAAACCCUGUCUCUACAAAAAUUACAAAAAUUAGCCUGGCAUGGUGGCAUGUGCCUAUAGUCCCAGCUACUCUGGAGGCUGAGGUCGGGGGGAUCGCUUAAGCCUGCUAGGUGGAGGUGGCAGUGAGCUGAGAUUGCACCACUGCACUCCAGCUUGGGUGACAGAGUGAGACCUUGUCUCAAAAAAAAAAAGCCAUUAACAGUAGAAAUUAACUAACCAGUUAAAACCGAGAACAAGCCACCUUCUUCUAAUCUGUCCCAGUUCUCCCAGCAUUAAGAAUGUCUCAUGUGAAGAACAUGUCUACAUAAAGCAAUAGUGAAGAGUGAAACCACUCCUCUUAGAACGACUUAAUUUGCUUUUGGUUUUAGUUAUCUAAAUAUUUCAAGUGAAAUCAGUUUGUUUGUUUUUGGUGUGUGUGUGUGUGUGUGUGUGUGUGUGUGUGUGUGUGUGUUUAACUUCUUUUUUUUUUUUUUUGACAGAGUUUCGCUCUUGUUGCCCAGGCUAGAGUGCAGUGGCACGAUCUCGGCUCACUGCAAGCUCCACCUCGCGGGUUCAAGUGAUUCUCCUGUCUCAACCUCCCGAGUAGCUGGGAUUAUAGGCACAUGCCACCAUGCCCAACUAAUUUUUGUAUUUUUAGUAGAGGCGGGGUUUCACCAUGUUGGCCAGGCUGGUCUCGAACACCAGACCUCAGGUGAUCCACCCGCCUCAGCCUCCCAAAGUGCUGGUAUUACAGGUGUGAGCUACCAUACCUGGCCUUAACUUUUUUGUAAGAGACAGCAUCUACGUUACCCACACUCGUCUCAAACUCCUGGGCUCAAGCAAUCCUCCCACUCAGUCUACUCAGUAGCUGGGACUAUAGGCACACAUCAUGCUUGUCUGAAAUCAGGGGUUUUAGGGCUAUUUUCUACCAUGCUUAUACAACUAGAAUGAUGCAGAAGUGAAUGACUAUUGUCCAUUUGCAAGAGAACCAGAUCAAAUCUGGUUUCUAAAUUAUAUAAAAAUAUAUUUAUAUGAAAAUGUAUCUUGCUUAAAUAAGUUUAACACAGAGUUUUAAAAUACUCUAAAAAUUGGAAAAUGAGAUCUGUGUACAUUGGCUGUGUGUGGGCCUUGGUCACAUUAACGUACUUUUCCUUAGUAUCCUAUGUGGCACUUUGCUAUGAGAAAUGCACCAUUGCAUCAAAUAAGUUUUAUUACUUUGGUGGCUAGACAAAGUUUUGUUUUUUCCAUUAGCAAAUAGAAUCUUUUUUAAAGCGGAAAAUUGGCAGUUAUUUUUAAAGUGGAUAUAUUACAUAAAUUUGAUCUUUAGGGAUCUAGGAAUUUUUAGUGGACUCUCAUGAAGAAAGCAAGUUUUGUGCCAUGCAUUUUAUCCUUAGUCACUUUAAUUAUAAAGACUACCCAUGUCCCAAAGCAGUUCAUGUUAGUUGAAAGGUGAUUCUAACAUAUUUUUUUUUUUUUUUUUGAGAUGGAGUCCCGCUCUGUCGCCCAGGCUGGAGUGCAGUGGCACGAUCUCGGCUCACUGCAACCACCGCCUCCUGGGUUCACACCAUUCUCCUGCCUCAAACUCCCAAGUAGCUGGGAUUACAGGCACCUGCCACCAUGCCAGGCUAAUUUUUUUGUAUUUUAUUUUUAGUAGAGACGGGGUUUCACUGUGUUAGCCAGGAUGGUCUCGAACUCCUGACCUCAUGAUCCGCCCGCCUUGGCCUCCCAAAGUGCUGGGAUUACAGGCGUAAGCCACCGCGUCCAGCCAAUUUUUUGUUUCUUAAUCUCCUUUAAACUUGGAAUAAGCAUUAAAAGGUUAACCAAGAUGCUCAUUUUCUGAAUUUUUCUGCAGCCAAGUUUACAUAGGGGCAACUCUUGAAUUCUGAACAAGACAUAGGGAACUGGUCUUUUCACAAAGAGGCCAUCUUGCAGUUAUGUCAACAAACUUUUUCACACUAGUGCAUCUGUUUCCAAAGUUUGUGGUUUGAAAGAAUAGACUGAUAUUAACUACUUCUCUUGAGUCUUCAAACGACCAAGAAAGGAAAGAAGGAAGACUGGUAGCAGCAAUGAAUUUUCACAGACAUGCAAACUCAGUAUUUCAGAUGGCUUAACAGAUGCACAGUUACAAAUAAGAGCCAUAUGGGUGCAUUAAAGGGUAAAAAAUCUGGGUCACAUUAUACAGUACAGGUGGAAAUGCAGCUAUAAACACAGUCAGAACAGGUGAUUUGGAUACCUGUCACUUAUAUCUAUAUACAGACUUAUCCAGUAAGACUCUCCUAUCCCAUACUUAAAUGAAAUUAAACCUUGUCAACCAUAAAGUUCAGUAUAAAGAUCUUUGAUGUCAAACACAGCAUUCUGAAGCAAGGUUUUAUUAGCUAGGUGUUUUGUAAAUAACAUUUAUCUUCAAAGCACCAAACACAGUACACAUUCCCAGGUAAAUAGUAAGUGCUUAGGAACAACUGUGUUGAAUUCAUUUAUGACCCUAAACAUUCUUUCCUCUGAAAUAUUUGUUAACACUUUAAUUGAACAGACCAUGGCUUUACUGAGCUAAUAAGGCACUUCCUAUCUUUAAGCUAAUUUUCUUUCCAUUAAAAUGGCCUGUGCAAUACAGGUAAUUUGAAACAGCAAGCACAUGUACAAGCCAGCAGCUCUACAAAGUGUUGUUUUGUAUACAAUAUUUGAUUAUAACAAUCAAGGCUGUCUUGAAGCACUGCAUAUUAUAGAAAAAUAAAAGGACAGUAAGUCCAAGCAUCUACAUUUUAGCUAUGUAAUCUUGAUUGUUUUUUCAGAAUAUUUUUCCUACUAAUCCAAUGGUAGAUUUAAAGUUUUCCUGAAAUAAUCAAAGGACCUGAAAUAAUCAAAGGACCAAAAUUAAACCACAGGGUAAAAAUUGUUGGUAAUAAUCACUGUAUUUUUAUUUUAUUUUAUUUUUGAGAUGAAGUCUCACUCUGUCACCCAGGCUGGAGUGCAGUGGCGCGAUCUUGGCUCACUGCAACCACCACCCCCUGGGUUCAAGCGAUUCUCCUGCCAGCCUCCUGAGUAGCUGGGAUUACAGGUGCCUGCCACCGCACCCGGCUAAUUUUUGUAUUUUUAGUAGAGAUGGGGGUUCACCAUCUUGGCCAGGUUGGUCUUGAACUCCUGACCUCAUGAACCACCAGCCUCGGCCUCCCAAAGUGCUGGGAUUACAGGUGUAAGCCACCACACCCGGCAAAUCACUGUUUAAAUAUUUACAUUUAUUUAAAAAUCCCUGUAUAUCAGUUAUGAUUGUCUUUAGAAUAUUUGUUUUUUUGGAAGAUAGUGAGGCAUAGUGGUUAAGGACACGAAUUCUGGAGUCAUCCAGCCUUGGUGCCAGCUUUGCCACUUACUCGUUCUGACAUCGUGAAAUGUAUAGUUGGUCUUUGUCCAGGUUUCCUGGCACACAACUCCUAAAAUCCUUGGAAUGUCCAACGUGAUUUCACAUGAUUCCAACAUGAUAGUCUUUUUUGUAUGCUAAUGAGAUGACUGCUAGCUGGCAGCCGCUGGGUAGCUUCAGCUUCUAGGCUGGUCACUGGAAAGACCAAGGCAGGAUCAGAGAGUUAGAACUUUGAGCCACACUCCCCAGCCACUGGGGAAGGGGUUUCACCAACUUAGUAAAUUUAAUCAAUCAUACCUACAUAAUGAUAAAAGCUCAAAAGGACUGGGUUCAGAGAGUUUCCCGAUAGCUGAACACAUGGAGGUUCCUGAAGGGCAGUAGAGCAUCGAAGCUCCAUUCUCCUUUGCAGGUGCCUUGCCCUGUGCAUCUCUUCAUCUUGAUCCUUUGUGAUAUCCUUUAUACAAAUGUACUGAUAAAAGUAAGUCAGUCUUUUCCUGAGUUCUGCGAGCCAGUACUAACAAAUUAGUCAAACCCAAGGAGAGGGUCGAGGGAACCCCAAUAUAGAGCUGGUCAGUCAGAAGCACAGGUAAAACAACUUGGGGCUUGCUACUGGCCUUGAAAGUGGGGAAAGAAGUCCUGUGGGCCUGAGCCCUUAACCUAUGGGAUCUGCUGUUCUCUCCAGGUAGCAGGAGUGUCAGAAUUGAAUUGAAUUCGAGGACAAUUCUGCAGCUGGUGGCCACUGCAGAACUGAUUGACUGGUUGUUGGCAGGGAGAAAUUUCCACACACUUCCUGGUGACCAGAGGUCCCAGAAGUCUUCUGUAUUGAUUGUUGUGAGUGAGAGAAUAGCAAAAGCAGCUUUGUUUGCUUUUUUUUUUUUUUCCCUACAUCCUCAGACUAGUUAUGUCAUCUUUCUGUGCCUCCAUUUCCUGUUCUCCAAAACUGAGGGAACAGAACCACCUACAUCAUAAUGUUGUUGAUGUAGGCAGUAAAAGUGAUAAUACAUACAAAGCACCAUGUUUGCCACAUACUAAGUGUUGAAAUAGAUGUCAUAUGUCAUUAUGAUCAAUGGACCAAAAUCCAUUGCAAAAGACAAAGAGGAGAUGAAUGCCUCUUUCCAAGAAGGUAAUAUAGGGCAUUUGAGCUGUCUUCUGUUGAAAACAGAAUUAAGGGAUCUUACGUGUUUGGAAACAUGGAGCAGAGUGCUCUAGGAUUACAAAAUGCUAAUGUAUUCAUUGUGAAGCUAAAGUGGCUGUAUCUUAAUGAAACCUCUGAAGUGGAUUAAGCUCAGCCGGUAGAAUGUGUAGGCAAAAACUCAGGCCAGAGGUGCAUUCACGAUUCAUGGGUAUUUCUUGGCACUUUUCUAGACCUUAGAGUAACAAAAAUCUUUUUUCUUUUUUUUUUAAAUGCUGUAUUUGAAAAGCUUUACAACCUGGUAGGGGAGAGGGACAACUGUAUGCUUGUAUGCUGAUGCAAUAAGUUACAGAAUGGAGGUAUGAAUGAGGUUUGAAGAAAAUGCUGAGGAGUUGGCGGGGGCAGAGGUUGAGGUUUGUUUGGGGGAAUUAAGAGAAACUUCACAGAGGACAUCUGAUCUGGAGCUGGAAAGUGAAUAGUAAUACACAGUGCAAAAAAGUGAUGGAAGUGUCACUUAGGAGUGGGGAAGAUGUACCCAGCAGCUUUUCUGCCUUGAGAGUGGUGAGAGGUUCUGUGUGGCUGAGAGUGCACAUGGGGAAAUUGGAUAGAGAGUCCUGGAGGAGCCGACUGGGACCAGUUUGCAGAGGGCCUUGCAUGUGAACACUGAUGAGAAGUGGUACACAUUUUAGCACAGUCAGGUCAUGAGCAGAAUUGCCUUUUGGAACAGUGACCAUGGCCACUGUUCCCCCUUAAAAACACUCCUCUAAGCCAAAAAAAAAAAAAAAAUGCUUAGAGGAGUGCUGAAAGAGGCUGAGGCAGAAAGAUCAGUUAGAAAAAUGUAAAAUAAUGAUGACGACGAUGAUGAUGAUGAUGUCUCUAGCAUGGCAAUAGGAUGAAACAAGGGCUUAGAUUCAAGGGAGAAUUACCAGAUGGAAUCAAGAGACUAUGUAUGCUGCUUGAAUGAUAUAGGGGUGACGGUGAGUGGGGCUUGUCCAAGGUGAUGUGCCCAAUGUCACACUGUGGACCAGCACUAUCGCCACACAUUCAUAUGACUAGAGCAGUUGAUAAAGGAGAAGUGAAGAAGUCAGAUGGUGUCAGUGGAAAAGGGUACAAUUUAAGAGUGUGCUUUCUUUUUUUUUUUCCUCUUUUUUUUUUUUUUUUUUUUUUGGGACGGAGUCUCACUCUGUAGCCCCGGAUGGAGUGCAGUGGCACAAUCUCGGCUCACUGCAAUCUCUGCCUCCCAGGUUCAAGUGAUUCUCCUGUCUCAGCCUCCUGAGUAGCUGGGACUACAGGUGCGCUCCACCAUACCUGGCUAAUUUUUGUAUUUUUAGUAGAGAAGGGGUUUUGCCAUGUUGGCCAGGCUGGCCUUGAACUCCUAACCUCAAGUGAUGUGCCUGCCUUGGCCUCUCAAAGUGCUGGGAUUACAGGCAUGAGCUACCAUCCCCGCCCAGCCUAAAGGUGUGUAUUCUAUAGGAAAACUGCUUCCUUUUCUCCUUCCAGCAUGGAAGUCAAGAUGCAACUCAAAAAUCCACUUAGCAGGCAAUGAGAUGAAGCACUGCUAGAAGUCCCAUUUCAUGACAAGGCCAAUUACUCAGACUUUACUGGGAGCCCAUCAAGACAUGGCAUAUGCCUGGCACAGAGAGGGUACUUAACAAAUGCUUGUCCAUUCAAUUUGUUAAGCAGGAAGUGAACAAAGUGGUGGGCUGGGUCUCAGAAUUACAUGCAUCUUCUAAAUCCCUCUGUGCCCUGAUUUCUUCAUUUAUAAAAUGGAGAGUAAAAUGUUAGGAAUUAAAAGAAAAAAAAUUCUUUAAAUAAGACAUGAUCAAGAAGCACUGAUAUUGGGAAGAAUGGGCAGCUAUCUGAGAUCCGUAUGUAAUGAUAAGUAAUCUAUUAAAUAGGGGCUACCAACUGGAGUUUAUAUAUACUCUUUAUAAUAUAUAUAUAUAUAUAUAUAUAUAUAUAUAUAUAUAUAUAUAUAUAUAUAUAUAUCUCCAAAGUUUUAUAUACUAUCUUUUAGCCAUAAGGCAAAUAAAUAAAAUAAAAUGCAAACAUCAUAAAAUUUACAUGGUAAAGCUAACCUUCUUUAUCUUCUUUAUGUAUUUAACUUACUUAUUUGAGACAGAGUAUUGCUCUGUCAGCAAGGUUGGAGGGCAGUGGCAAGAUCACAGUUCACUGCAACCUCUGCCUCCCGGGCUCAACUGGCCCUCCCACCUCAGCCUCCAAAGUAACUGAGACUACAGUUGUGCACCACCAUACCUGGCUAACUGUUUUGUAGACAUGAGGUUUCAUCAUGUUGCCCAGACUGCUCUCGAACUCCUGGGCUCAAGUGAUCCUCCCACCUCGGCCUUGCAAAGUGCUGGGAUAAUAGGCUUGAGCCACUGAGCCCAGCCCGAAAAACUAACUUUUUAUGGAAGUCUUACUGAAGCAAAAAUAAAUAUAUAAAUAAAAUCGUGUUUAAGGAGAGCUCUUAAUUUUGAGAAAAACAACAUUUGCAAGAAGUCUUCAUUUUAAUAAAAACAACCUAAAAAUUACAGCAUAGGUUUACAUCUGCCUUUAAAUGUCAUUUCAUAAUAAAACAUUAUUGCUUUAAAAAUAUUAGCUUAUUAAAUAGGUAAGUUCAAUAAGUUAUAAAGGAGUUAAAUGUUUGUAUUAAACAUGUGAACCAUCAGAAUUUUUCAUAUUCUGUCAAUCAGGCAGAAGUUGAUGUAAUUAGAAAUGUUCAGAAUAUGCCAGUUUGUGAGACUCCACUGGAUAUCCUCACAGUCAAUGCUCAAAAAAUAUCCACUGACUGAAUGAAAUAAAGAAAAAUAAUCACAUAUAUAACAUGUAUGUGUAAGCUAGACAACAAACAUGUAAAUGAACUGUACCAUUUAAUUUUUAAAACAGACUACACAGCUUCUCUAUCAUACUAGUUAGAAAAUAAUCCUUGUAGCACCUCAAAUAAUUCUUCAUAUGGAAACCAAAAGAUGACUCUUUGCCUCUAAGCCACCACCGGCUAAGGGAAGGCUCCCUUGAAAAUGGCCCCUGUCCCUCUACUGUUUUUAUUUUUUAUUUUUUUAUGAAUGGAUGUAUCAGACUUAGACUUUUAGCUCUGUGGCAUUACACAUGGAAACACUUACAAAAUUAUACUAAGUAAAUGACAGGCUUUCAGUUGUUUUUUAAUUAGGAAAAAUACCUAGUCCUUCAAAACUAGAUAUUUUAUUUUGAAUUUUAUUUGUAAUCAAAAUGUUGUUCUGGAAGCCUUUUCUGUAGUCUUAAUUACUCAAACAUGUUCCUAUGGGACUUGAUGUCACCACUGUAUAGCAAUCCUGCAGAUGGCAAAAGUUUAAAAUAGAAUUAAACUAAGCUAUUAAUUAUGUAGACAGGGUAAAAGAAAUAUAAAUGAAUAGCCUUUAAAAUAAAUUUUAGUACUUCUAACUGCCAGAAUGGCAGCUGUUUGUCUACUUUCUUGGGAGACAGAAGAGUCAAGUUAGCUUAUGCUUUGCUAUUGUUUAUACAAAAUAAAAUAUUAGUUCUCUUGUUUAAAAUGCCAAAGGAUAGAAAUGUGAUUCUUACAGACAAUCCUGCUUACAGUUUUGCUUAGUGAGGGCAGGGUUGAUUUUUCAAAUUCUUUAGAUCAAAAGUUAAGAAGGCCGGUGCAGUGGCUCAUGCCUGUAAUCCCAGCACUUUGGGAGGCCAAGGCAGGCAGAUCACUUGAGACCAGGAGUUUGAGACCAGCCUGGCCAACGUGGUAAAACGCCAUCUCUACUAAAAAUACAAAAAAUUAGCCAGGUAUGGUUGCGCAUGCCUAUAAUCCCAGCUAUUCAGGAGGCUGAGGCACGAGAAUUGCUUGAACCCAAGAAGCAAUGAGCCAAGAUUGCUCCACUCACUAUAUUCCAGCCUGGACAACAGAGUGAGACCUUAUCAAAAAAAAAGGAAAAAGGAAGAAUUUUCUUUUCUCUUUUCCUUCCUUCCUUUCUUCCUUCCUUCCUUUUUUUUUUUUUGGUGGCGUCUCACUCUGUCAUCCAGGCUGGAGUGCAGUGGCACUAUCUUGGCCACUGCAACCUCCACCCCAGGUUCAAGCAAUUCUCCCACCUCAGCCUCCCGAGUAGCUGGGAUUACAGGCACAUGCCACCAUUCCUGGCUAAUUUUUGUAUUUUUAGUACAGACGGGGUUUCACCAUGUUGGCCAGGUUGGUCUUGAACUCCUGACCUCAAGUGAUCCGCCUGCCUCGGCCUCUCAAGGUGCUGGGAUUACAGGCAUAAGCCACUGCGCCCGGCCUAUAAGGAAGAAUUUUCAAGUUGGAUUAAAUUAUAGAUUUUUAUUUCUUCUUCUUCCACUGGCAGACAAUGUAAUUUUUUAUUUCAUAUGAAACACUAAUGGUGAACUGGAAACUCUUCAUUUUAUACUCUAGAAAUGCCAUAAAACAUUCCCCCUAAAUUAUAUUCAAGUCACUGUUCAGUCCACUAAAUCCUCAAUAACACUAUAUUGCCUCAUCAAACGUAAGCUCGAUUUCUUGAAUCAGCAUUUUCUUUAAUACUACUCAGGGGAUAUGAGAGUUCAGCAACUCCUAAAGGUUCCCAACAUUUUUUCUAUGAAUCCCAAAGACAUUAGAGAAAAGUACAAAAUGCAAAAAUUCUAAGAAAGACACAAAGGAAGGUUUUACAGAGGCUCUCUUGGCCAUUUUAGGCAAAAAGUCAGUGUAUUUUAUCAAAUAAUUUUUUUUUUUUUUUUUUUUUUUGAGCAGAGUCUCACUGUUGUCAGCCCAGGCUGUGUUUAAAGCUGGUGAGGGGUGGAUCCUAGCCUCAGUCUGCAGGCAGUUUUGGGGUUGGUCUUGUCUGAGGAAGCAGAUGAACUCCCUGGUCCCAGGCCUUGGGCUUGGAAAGCAGCAGGGAUUGUGAUGACUUUUCAGACCCACCUGAUGGACGGGAGCUUACGCUUGUUUUUAUGAUGCAGGAGUAUGAACCCCUAAGAGGAAUUCAGGUGUCCUGGGUGUUUUGGUACUGAUAUUAACAUACAGCCUCAUGAAAGUCAUUUACUAUCACUGUGCAUCAAAGAGCUCAUUUGCUAUAGAGGCCAAUCAUCUUUUCUCCCCAUUUCAGAGGUACCUGUAUGAGUACAUGCCCCAGUCCUGCCCCACUACAUAGUGAAGUCUUGAAGGACAAAGACUGUGGGUUACAUCUUUCACUUUCCUUUUCUUUUCCUUUUACCCAUCAGCCCCUUUCUUGUGAUAUAAAGGACUAUGUCUAUAUUAUAUUUCUUCAGUAAGUAUUUGUUGAAUGAACAAAUGAAUGAAUGAGAGAGAAAUUUUAAGUGUAAACAAUUUGGGCAGAUUUCACAAUACAAUUAACCUUGAAAGAUAUAUAAACAUUUGCAGAUUUAAAAAAAUUAUUAAUAUCCCAGAUGAUCUUCAUCUCUACUUUGGAACAUUUAAGCACAGGAACAUUGUUUAAAAUAUAUCUCUAGGCCGGGCGCGGUGGCUUAUGCUUGUAAUCCCAGCACUUUGGGAGGCC